AUACAUGAUCCGACGAUACUAAAGUUUUAAGCUGCCUUCGAAAAUACCCAACGUACCCUUAGAUCAGUUCCGGUUGCAAUUGAAUGCGUACUCAAAUCUCCAGAAAUUGUCCCUUAGAAGGCUGAGCGCACAAAUAUAUGGAGAUCUCCAAGACUGGAAUUAUGAUAUUUGGCUUGCAGAACCAAUUGAUUCGUCGGACUAUAUAAUUCUACAAAAUAUAAAGGUUUCAUUGCCUGAGUCUGAAAGUAAGGCCCAUAAGCUUACAAAUUGCAAAGGC